rnacentral:tRNA from 1 species
GGGGCUAUAGCUCAGCUGGGAGAGCGCUUGCAUGGCAUGCAAGAGGUCAGCGGUUCGAUCCCGCUUAGCCUGU